AAAAGUGUGAGUGGAGUGGAGUGGAGGCUCAUGGGAGAAAUAUGACUUGAAUAAUUGUUUUGUUAUACUUUGAUUUAAUUAUUUAAGGUGAUACCUUUUAAUUCAAGUCUAUUCCCAUAUUAUUAACUUUGGAGGCUCAAGUUGAUACAGAAAGCAAGUCUCAUAGCGAAUAUGAGAUCAAUCAACAAUACUGAGUCAAUAUACCCCAAACUCACUCAAUGAGACAAUGAGGUUGAACGACAAGAACUCGGCUCCAAGAAUACAUCAAAGCACCUAGAGUCAAACAAGGUAGUUCAAAUCAGUAAAGGCUCGCAAGGCUCAUGUAGUAUAGCAGUUCAUGGUGAACUGUUGGAACAUAUCAUAUAAAGAGUUCAACAUCAUAUCAAUCUGAGUCUUUAAAGUCAAUGGUUGAACCCAAAUUAUCCGCCAUGUUGAAGUGUGCAAUCAUAAUCAACAUACGACCAUAUGAAGGCGUUUCGAGUUUCAUGCGAAUGUUAUUUAAGGUAUGAAUGACUUCAAAACGAAUCCUCCUACUUUAAUGAACAUACACGUCCCGAAGACUUUGUAGCAUAUCAUAGGAGGUACUAUAACCUUCAAGAUUUUGCUAUAACAUCUUGAUAUUGAAACCUAAAUGUAACAAGAAGUCGUCUUAUCUCCAUUCACACACUUAUAAUACGCAAUCAUCUUAGAUUUGUUUGUGCUCUUAGUAGAUUCCACACGACAUUCCUCCUCAAGCAUAAAAUCAAGUUUCUCCACAAUAAGUAUAAAAACCAAAAUACGUUUCCAAUCCACACAAUUUUUUCCUUUAAGUUGGUUUUAUGUUAGAAUAACAAAAAGUGACUUAACAGACAUUUUGCUGAAAAAUAACCAUAUACCGAUAUUAAAUAACAAUUUUGCAUAUGAUGAAUGAACGCAUAUCUAAAUCCAUAAAACUAAAAUGAUUUCACAAUUUUUGUUUAUUGUGAUCCAACAUGCACAUCCAUAAGAAACGUCACCGUGUCCAUCAAAUAAUCGAACUACAUGUCCCUUCUAUAGGAAGUCCGUUGUGGCACGAUG
rnacentral:lncRNA from 1 species